GUGAAUCAUCGAAUUUUUGAACGCAAAUUGCACUCUCCUCGGAGAGUAUGACUGUUUGAGGGUCAGCCUAUAAAAAAUCGACAUCGUUGCUGUUUCGCGGUGGCGUUCGUCGGAAAUUGGGACAUCUUAAAUCCUUUUGGUUUUUAAGCGACUUAAAUUUUUAUUUUUGGUUCCAUGAUCGUUUCUAAGAUUUAUUUCUUUUCACGUUUAAGGUAUGGAUUUUUAUUAGACGUCACCAUCAUAUCGGAUUGUGUCCAUAAUCUUUCAUUAACUGACUUCAGACAGGUAAGGGUACCUG
rnacentral:misc_RNA from 1 species